AAUUGGGGGGUUCCUAAACCCCCUUUGAUUAAGAGCCAGGGGAAUGGUUAUCACUCGUCUAAUAGCCUUCAUCCACUUAGAAGAGAUAAUUUGAUGGUAUAAAACAAGCUUGUAAUCGCGGUAGAAGUAGUCUGGUUAAAGUGAAACAGUCACUGGUAUCGGAAAAGAAAAAAAUAUAUCAAACGCUCGCGUGGCAAGAUCAGAAACAGUGCUCAUCACCGACGUAGCAGCAGAGACAGGAUGGUGGUAUGCAGUGCUGACGCUCGUGUGGUUCAUAUGCUGCUGCAUGGAGCCAUACAUUGUCGAGGCGCCAUCCAUCGUAUAAACUCCCACUUCAUCAUACGGCGGCUGCAAGAGAAGCCAUUCCAUUAGAUUAAUCACGACAUUAUGCUGAUGAUACCUGAAAUUUGCACAGCGCGAUCAUAGAUAAUCAAAGAAAUAUUAUGCGCACAUACACGACAAGUCUUCAAGGCGGAGGAAGUUGCGAGUUUUUUUCUACUGACCCGCUCUAUAGCCAUAUACUUUGGCCGAGAGACUUGGCCUUCUCUGUAUACCCUUAAUCUCCCGUCGCAGAGCUGUUAUCGAAAAAUUACAUUCGAUGUUUAAUCUUGAAUUUUGACAGUCAGUUUAGGGCUAACUCAGUUGGAUAGCUUUCUAAACUUACAAUACGUCAACUUGCAGAAGAAAGAUGUGUUUUCCCGUCAACACAACCCGUAACGGAUUGUCAAGCUUGUCUCGUGGCUCUUGCCCACUGAUAUGUCAAUCAUCAUUCACGAUUUCCAUAGACCCAUGUCAAAACAACCUUAUGAGAAACACUCUUUUCAUCACUCGGUCAUCCUUCAUUAAAUUUCAGUUUUAAACUCCGAGUAGAAUUUUCGUCAUAACGCUGCACGCUUUACUACUAAUUGAUACUAAAGAGGUGAUUUAGACUCUUAUUUGAUAGCCUAGAGAGGCACAAUAUACGUGAAAACGUGGCAGUGAAGUCACAUUUGGAAUAAUUCUCCUUAACAUUAUCAUAAACCCGAGCCACUUCUUAAUAAUACGUGGUGGGACCAAUUAGAUUGAUCAACCAAUCACAAUGCGAGAAGCCAGUGAACCUAAAUAAUAUGUCUAAACACUUCUAUCUCCAUUGUCUUACCUAUCACAAAUCUUUACAUAGUCUUUGGGGCGUGUCAUUCCAUUGAAAACUAACAACAACGUAAUCUAGAUCAAUUUUGAAAUUAUUGAAGGAAAGUUAACCCGGAAACGUGCAUUAUCAGAAAAGACAGCUACAACCAUAGGUGCAAUUUUCCUGAAGGGAAAAUACCGCANUCAUUCACGAUUUUUUCCGCUUUUAUUUUUUAUGCGAUGCUGGUAGUAGAUGUCGUCUGGCCAGGUAUGAGAUGAAGGGAAACUCUUUUGUGGGUUUUGAUUGACAUUUGACUAACACCUGCUGAUAAUUGGCUUUGAAAUGUUUCUACUUCGGUAAAGCUUUUUCCAAAACAACAAAAAAGAACUUCAAUAAACCAGGUUAAAAAUCCAAACACAGCUGAUUUCUACAAAAAAAUUAAUAGGGCUUUCAAUUUGGUUCCAAGAGUUCACCGUGAGAAGUCUAUUUUUCUCUCUUUCCCGAAGCUGUGAUCCGUGUUAUUAAAAUGAUCGUCGUACACGAGUAGCUUUGAUGGAUUGUAUUUCCUUAUCAAUGUUCCUGUCUACUCGAUAGAGCAAAGAUAUGACGCCUUUUGUCAGAGGCUGACAGUAUGGGCGGAGAUGAACGACACUUAGUUUAAAACAACACAUCCAACUCACAACAUCUUAAAAACUUCACUAAACGCUACACUUGUCAAAACCAGUGUAGCGUUUACAAGAGGAAUUACUGAGGCCCUUUACUGUAACAUAAAGGCAGCGGAAAACUCUAGAUACCAAAUAAAAAANUUUUUUUUU
rnacentral:lncRNA from 1 species